AUGCCUUGGGAAGCGGAGUUCCCUGUCACUCACGCAUCCCAGGCUCUACUUGGAAACUGCGUUCUACAGAGGAGGUGGUCACCACCUUUGUGCUCCACGCAAGCGUCUCUGGUGAGUCAGGGCUGCAGAUGGGUGAACCAGCUGGUGUUCUACGCAAGGCCCCAGACAAGAGCAGCACAUUCACCCCUGCCUGCAAGUCCCCUUCGGGAGCCCCAUCAGGUCAUGCGCUGGUCUUGGCCAGAGGUGUUGUCCCCUAAGCUAGGGUUCCAGCCUCCUCUCUGAUAUGAACUACUCCUUUCUUUGGAAAGAGUGUGGAGGGAGGGAGUCAGCUGUGAAAGUCCUGCUUCCCUGACCUUGUCAGCAAGACUCUUGAAGGUACCACUAGUAAUAAAGUCGUAGCACCAAGAGCAGAUGUAGGUAUAGUGCUUGUUUCGCGCUGGGACUCUUUUAAGUGUUUUGUACGUAUUAGCGCAUUUCAUUCCUGCAGACACUGAGGUAGAUUAAUGAUGGCCCCAGAUUCUUUGAUACUCUUCCCAUUGAGGAUUGAGGUUAAGGACCCUCCCGUUGAAUCCGGACGGGCUCUGGGGAUGCUUUAACCAGCAGAAAAUGGUAAAAGUGAUGACCUGUUGGUUUGGAGCUGGCUUUAGAAUGCUUGCUCUGGGGCACCCACUCUGGGGAAAGCCAGACCCCAAGUACGAAGUUUGAGUACCUUGCUGGAGAAAUCACAGGGAGGGGACCUGAGGCCCCCUGAAGAGAGAGAGAGUGGCCAGCGGAGCCACACCUUUGUUUUUCUGUCUCCUCUGCAGCAUGGCUCCCUCCGCGUCCCCUUGUUACUCUUAUCUGUUGUUCCAGGACUCCUUCCAUGGCCUCUUUGCCCCUGGGAUGACUUGGGUGGCCCUUCUGUGCUCCAUAAUGCUUUGGUGGGGGGGGUCUUUCUGUGGUACAAAUGAAGAUGUUAACAUGACUGGGUCCCUGCUGGUCUAUAGGCUCCAUGAGAACAGAGACUGUGUCUUUUUUUUUUUUUAAUUAUUUAUUUGUCAGAGAGAGAGAGAGAGAGAGAGAGCGCGCACAAGCAGGGUGAGCAGCAGAGGGAGAACCAGACUCCCCACUGAGCAAGGAGCCUGAUGCGGGACUCGAUCCCCGGACCCGGAGGUCAUAACCUAAGCCGAAAUCUAAGCGUUGGACGCUUAACCCACUGAGCCACCAGGUGCCCCAGACAGAGACUGUGUCUUCCUUGUCUUUGUAGCUUCCGAGUUCAACCCAAGUCCUGGCUGGCUCAGUGUUGCCGCGCAGUAGAUUCUUACAGAACAGCGAAUGAACCAAGGGAUGCAUGCGGCUGUCCAUGGUGCUGGUCUGCAGAGCAUGGGCUCUAGAGUCUGCUGAAGUCGGUUCGAAUCCUGACUCGGCCACUUCCCAGCGGCACAGAGGUGGGAACAUUACAUCAUCUCCUUGAUUGUCCUCCAUGAAACAGACACAGUUGAACGACCCACAUCAGAGGAUGUUGUAAGGAGGAAAGGAGACCCACUCCAUGAAUUGCUUAGCGCGCUGCUCGGCAGGUGGUCAAUGCUUGGGAAAUGGUGCCUUUUACAAAACCAGUAAAUUUGAUAAUUGCAGGUGUCCUCCCUCUUCACAUUCCUUAUUCCUUAGUCGCUGCGUUCUGUAAGCAGAGAUUGUUGGCACAGAUGCUGGUCGUUUCUUACUUCCUUUUCCUCAAGAAUUCCUUGUUGUUGAUUGAACUUUUUCCUAUUCAGCCCUCGGCUCCAGUCCGUGCAGUUUUCUCAGCAUUGGCACCAGGGCCACCCCACCCCUGUGUCCUCUGACGGACCCAGGGAGCAAGGGACAGGUCAUCUGAAGCUUGGAGAGGACCCACAACUUGACACUGGAGAGGAGACAGGCUCAGGUGAUCAGAUGUCUGUUCUUUACCCUCAGCGUCUGCGGGCUGAACUGGGAGCCGGAGGAGAAGUGCUGGCUGGGAGAUCCAGGGGAAAUGGGGAGACUGUGGAUGGACUGUGGACAGCUGUAAGGUAGCAGGGCAUACUUGUCACCCUUCCCUGUAUUUCUGGGGAAUGUUGCUGGCAAUGAGCAUAGUAGCAUUUCAAGUACAAAUACUUAUGGCAGAAUGCAUCAAAGCUUGAACAAUAAGGGGUUUUAGGAUCUCAUCUGAUAUGAAAUCUGGCAGAAAGACAUCUCUAGGUUUGGCUAAUUUAGCUGCUCAACAGUACCAUCAAAGACCAGGUUCUUUCCAUCUACAGUGUGUUGGUUUGUUUGGCUCCCAUGGUGCCAAGGUGGCUGCCAUAGCUCCAGGCUUCACACAUGGUCAACAAUGUGCAGAGAAAGAAAAGAAGGUAGUUUUGCUCUCUCUCACAUCUUUUUAAGAGCUGAAGAAAACACUUCCAGAAGCCUUCUGGAAGCCUUCUUCUGUGCCUCAUUGGCCCACAUUGUUUCAUUUGUCCAUCCCAAACCAUUCCCCAGAGGCUUUAACCAAUCCCUGAAGAGAAUGGAUCCUUUAGGGAGAGUGAACAAAACUUGGGUCUCUUUCUGUUAGAAAGGGGGCAACCACGUGAAUGAUUGUUGUUAGGGAUUUUUAAAAAGACUUAUUUACUUUUUUUUAGAGAGAGAGAGUGCGCGGGGGGCAGGGGCAGAGGGAGAGGAGGAGGCUUAAGCAGACUCCAUGCUGAGCACGGAGCCCAAAGCGGGACUUGAUCUCAUGAUCCUGAGAUCACAGCCUGAGCCGAAACCUGAGCCAAAACCAAGAGUCAGAUACUUAACCAACUGCGCCACCCGGGCACCCCGAUUGUUGUUAGGUUUUAACAGUGUCUGCUCUAUAAGGUUUUUGCCCCCCACCUUUUUUGGGGGGGUUGCCAUGUGCCGUAUACAUGAAAGGGUCCUGAAACCAUGAAUAAGGGAAAUAGCUGAGAUAUAACUGGGAAGCAGGUUUUCAGGGUCUGUGGCUUUCUACUGGACCUCUGACAGUCUGUAUGAUUUUGGCGGGACACCCCUCUCCUUUUCUGAUCUUAGUGUCCAUCUCUUUGGCAGGAGGAAUUCAGAGUUUUCUCACAUGACCCUUACGGACCUCCAGCUAAUCACAGUUCGUAUGGGUGGCACAGAACUCAGGAAAAGAUUUUAAAAUGGGUUUCUCCCUUCACAAAGCCAGGAGCUUUUUGAGAAGUAUUGAUCACUUCAUGGCAGACAAGCUAUGUAGCCUCAGGCAAGUUAAUUAGCCUCUCUGAGUCUCGGUUUCCUCAUCUGUAAAAUGGGGAUAGAAAUAUACCUUCCUUCCAAGGGUUGUUGGGAUAAUUAAACGGCAUAGAGGAACACACAGAAGCUGGAGUAUGGGACUUAGUCAGCAACAUUGUUAUUGUUCUCGUCGUAUCAUUACAUCAUCAGCAUCAUUACAGGCACCCCCGGGGGAUGCCACGGGUUCUGUUCCAGACCACUGCGGUAAAGCAUGUAUUGUAAUAAAGGGAGUAACAGUGGAUUUUUUUCGUUCCCAGGGCAUAUAAAGGUUAUGUUUAUACAAUACUGUAGACUGUGAAGUGUGUGAUAGCGUUAUGUCCAAAAAAGCCUUAUGUAUAUGCCUUCAUUACAAAAUAUUUUAUUGCUAAAAAAUGCUGACCAUUGGCUGAGCUUUCAGUGAACCAAAAAUCACAGAUCACAGAUGACCAUAACAAAUAUAAUAAUCAUGAAAACGUUUCAAAUACUGCAAGAAUGAGCAGAAUAGGACACAGAGACACAAAGUAUACAGAUGCUGUUGGAAAAAUGGUGUUGAUAGGCUCACCCGAUGUGGGAUUGCCACAAAACUUCCAUUUGUGAAAAACGUGCUAUCUGCAAAGUGCAGUAAAAUGAGGUAUGCCUGGGGCACCUGGGUGGUCUGGCGGUGAAGCGUCUGCCUUCGGCUCAGGUCAUGAUCC
rnacentral:lncRNA from 1 species